GACGAACGCUGGCGGCGUGCCUAACACAUGCAAGUCGAGCGGAGUCGAUCGACGGAAGCCUUCGGGCGGAAGAUGGUUGACUUAGCGGCGGAUGGGUGAGUAACGCGUGGGCAACCUGCCUCGAAGACCGGGAUAACAGCCCGAAAGGGCUGCUAAUACCGGAUGUGGUCAAGGAUCCGCAUGGAUUUUUGAUUAAAGGGGAAACCCGUUUCGAGAUGGGCCCGCGUCCUAUCAGCUAGUUGGUGAGGUAAAAGCUCACCAAGGCGACGACGGGUAGCCGGCCUGAGAGGGUGACCGGCCACACUGGAACUGAGACACGGUCCAGACUCCUACGGGGGGCAGCAGUGGGGAAUCUUCCACAAUGGGCGAAAGCCUGAUGGAGCGACGCCGCGUGAGCGAAGAAGGCCUUCCGGUUGUAAAGCUCUGUCUGGAGGGACGAAGGAAGUGACGGUACCUCCGGAGGAAGCCACGGCUAACUACGUG
rnacentral:rRNA from 1 species